UACGUAGGCAGCGAGCGUUGUUCGGAAUUACUGGGCGUAAAGAGUGUGUAGGCGGCGCUCUAAGUUCGGUGUGAAACCUCUCGGCUUAACUGGGAGGGUGCGCCGGAAACUGGAGUGCUCGAAUGUGGGAGAGUAAAGCGGAAUUCCUGGUGUAGCGGUGAAAUGCGUAGAUAUCAGGAGGAACACCUGCGGUGUAGACGGCUUUCUGGACCAUUGUUGACGCUGAGACACGAAAGCGUGGGUAGCAAACAGG
rnacentral:rRNA from 1 species